AUGGCUCACGGAGACGAUCUCCAUGCCAUCAAAUACCUGCCCCUCAAGUUGAAAGGACCAGGUCGACACUCGUUGAAAAGCCUUCCCAAAAAUUCCAUUAGAAGCUGGGAGGAACUCGAGGACGCUUUCAGGGCUAAUUUUCAAGGGACAUACGUUCGACCCCCGGAUGCAGACGAUUUAAGUCACAUAUUUCAACAACCCGGAGAGUCAGCCCGUAAGCUUUGGAACAGAUUUCUCACCAAGAAGAACCAAAUCAUCGACUGUCCGGAUGCCGAACCCCUAGAAGCUUUCAAACACAGUGUCCAGGAUGAAUGGCUUGCCACACACCUCGGCCAGGAAAAGCCAAGGACAAUGGCAGCCCUAACAACUCUUAUGACCCACUUUUGCACAGGCGAGGACAGUUGGUUGGCUCGAAGCGGCACCAACGAUCCACGCACAUCCGAAAUAAGGGAUGGCAAUGGAAAACCAUGA
rnacentral:rRNA from 1 species